rnacentral:rRNA from 1 species
AUUGAACGCUGGCGGCAGGCUUAACACAUGCAAGUCGAGCGGGGUGAUGGUGCUUGCACUAUCACUUAGCGGCGGACGGGUGAGUAAUGCUUAGGAAUCUGCCUAUUAGUGGGGGGCAACAUCUCGAAAGGGAUGCUAAUACCGCAUACGUCCUACGGGAGAACGCAGGGGAUCACUUGUGACCUCGCGCUAAUAGAUGAGCUUAAGUCGGUUUAGCCAGUUGGUGGGGUAACGGCCUACCAAGGCGACGAUCUGUAGCGGGUCUGAGAGGAUGAUCCACCACACAGGGACUGAGAAACGGCCCAGACUCCUACGGGAGGCAGCAGUGGGGAAUUUUGGGCAAUGGUCGCAAGUCUGAUCCAGCAAUGCCGCGUGCAAGAUGAAGGCCUUCGGGUUGUAAACUGCUUUUGUACGGAACGAAACGGCGAGCUCUAAUACAGUUUGCUAAUGACGGUACCGUAAGAAUAAGCACCGGCUAACUACGUGCCAGCCGCCGCGGUAA